GACGAACGCUGGCGGCGUGCCUAAUACAUGCAAGUCGAGCGGAACUGGGGGAGCUUGCUCCUUCCAGUUUAGCGGCGGACGGGUGAGUAACACGUGGGCAACCUGCCCUGCAGAUCGGGAUAACUCCGGGAAACCGGUGCUAAUACCGAAUAGUUUGGCGCCUCUCCUGAGGCGCCCCGGAAAGACGGUUUCGGCUGUCACUGCAGGAUGGGCCCGCGGCGCAUUAGCUAGUUGGUGGGGUAACGGCCCACCAAGGCGACGAUGCGUAGCCGACCUGAGAGGGUGACCGGCCACACUGGGACUGAGACACGGCCCAGACUCCUACGGGAGGCAGCAGUAGGGAAUCUUCCGCAAUGGACGCAAGUCUGACGGAGCAACGCCGCGUGAGUGACGAAGGUUUUCGGAUCGUAAAACUCUGUUGUGAGGGAAGAACACGUACCAACUAACUAUUGGUACCUUGACGGUACCUCACCAGAAAGCCACGGCUAACUACGUGCCAGCCGCCGCCAUAA
rnacentral:rRNA from 1 species